UUAGAGUUUGAUCCUGGCUCAGGACGAACGCUGGCGGCGUGCCUAAUACAUGCAAGUCGAACGCGUCCCGGUUGAUGAAGUUGAGUGCUUGCACUUGAUUGAUUCAACUUGGUGACGAGUGGCGAACUGGUGAGUAACACGUGGGUAACCUGCCCCGAAGCGGGGGAUAACAUUUGGAAACAGGUGCUAAUACCGCAUAACAACCAAAACCUCCUGGUUUUGGUUUAAAAGACGGCUUCGGCUGUCACUUUGGGAUGGACCCGCGGCGUAUUAGCUAGUUGGUGAGGUAACGGCUCACCAAGGCGAUGAUACGUAGCCGACCUGAGAGGGUAAUCGGCCACAUUGGGACUGAGACACGGCCCAAACUCCUACGGGAGGCAGCAGUAGGGAAUCUUCCACAAUGGACGCAAGUCUGAUGGAGCAACGCCGCGUGAGUGAUGAAGGGUUUCGGCUCGUAAAACUCUGUUGUUGGAGAAGAACGGGUGUCAGAGUAACUGUUGACAUCGUGACGGUAUCCAACCAGAAAGCCACGGCUAACUACGUGCCAGCAGCCGCGGUAAUACGUAGGUGGCAAGCGUUGUCCGGAUUUAUUGGGCGUAAAGCGAGCGCAGGCGGUUUUUUAGGUCUGAUGUGAAAGCCUUCGGCUUAACCGGAGAAGUGCAUCGGAAACCGGGAGACUUGAGUGCAGAAGAGGACAGUGGAACUCCAUGUGUAGCGGUGAAAUGCGUAGAUAUAUGGAAGAACACCAGUGGCGAAGGCGGCUGUCUGGUCUGCAACUGACGCUGAGGCUCGAAAGCAUGGGUAGCGAACAGGAUUAGAUACCCUGGUAGUCCAUGCCGUAAACGAUGAGUGCUAAGUGUUGGAGGGUUUCCGCCCUUCAGUGCUGCAGCUAACGCAUUAAGCACUCCGCCUGGGGAGUACGACCGCAAGGUUGAAACUCAAAGGAAUUGACGGGGGCCCGCACAAGCGGUGGAGCAUGUGGUUUAAUUCGAUGCUACGCGAAGAACCUUACCAGGUCUUGACAUCUUCUGC
rnacentral:rRNA from 1 species